GAGAAGUCGUAACAAGGUUUCCGUAGGUGAACCCGCGG
rnacentral:rRNA from 1 species